CCCAAUGACGUCUCUAGAAGACAUCUGAAGGAGAUUAAAGAUUUAUCGGUGAUGGAUGGGGAUGCGUCUGAUUAGCUUGUUGGCGGGGUAACGGCCCACCAAGGCGACGAUCAGUAGGGGUUCUGAGAGGAAGGUCCCCCACAUUGGAACUGAGACACGGUCCAAACUCCUACGGGAGGCAGCAGUGAGGAAUAUUGGUCAAUGGACGAGAGUCUGAACCAGCCAAGUAGCGUGCAGGAUGACGGCCCUAUGGGUUGUAAACUGCUUUUAUAAGGGAAUAAAGUGAGUCUCGUGAGACUUUUUGCAUGUACCUUAUGAAUAAGGACCGGCUAAUUCCGUGCCAGCAGCCGCGGUAAUACGGAAGGUCCGGGCGUUAUCCGGAUUUAUUGGGUUUAAAGGGAGCGUAGGCCGGAGAUUAAGCGUGUUGUGAAAUGUAGACGCUCAACGUCUGCACUGCAGCGCGAACUGGUUUCCUUGAGUACGCACAAAGUGGGCGGAAUUCGUGGUGUAGCGGUGAAAUGCUUAGAUAUCACGAAGAACUCCGAUUGCGAAGGCAGCUCACUGGAGCGCAACUGACGCUGAAGCUCGAAAGUGCGGGUAUCGAACAGGAUUAGAUACCCUGGUAGUCCGCACGGUAAACGAUGGAUGCCCGCUGUUGGUCUGAAUAGGUCAGCGGCCAAGCGAAAGCAUUAAGCAUCCCACCUGGGGAGUA
rnacentral:rRNA from 1 species